UACGUAGGGUACAAGCAUUGUCCGGAAUUAUUGGGCAUAAAGAGCUCAUAGGCAGUCUGUCGCGUCGGCUGUGAAAACUCAAAACUCAACCCCAAGCCUGCAGUCGAUACAGGCAGACUAGAGUCCAACAAAAGAGACUGGAAUUCCUAAUAUAGCGAUGAAAUACACAGAUAUCAGGAGGAACACCAAUGGCAAAAACGGGUCUCUAAACCGGAACUGACGCUAAAGAGCGAAAGCGUGAAAAGCGAACAGG
rnacentral:rRNA from 1 species